UACAGAGGGUGCAAGCGUUAAUCGGAAUUACUGGGCGUAAAGCGUGCGUAGACGGUUAUGUAAGUCGGGUGUGAAAUCCCCGGGCUCAACCUGGGAACUGCAUCCGAGACUGCAUUGCUAGAGUAUGGGAGAGGGAAGCGGAAUUUCUGGUGUAGCAGUGAAAUGCGUAGAUAUCGAGAGGAACACCUGCGGCGAAGGCGGGUUGCUGGGCUGACACUGACGCUGAGGCGCGAAAGCCAGGGGAGCGAACGGG
rnacentral:rRNA from 1 species